rnacentral:rRNA from 1 species
CCUACGGGAGACAGCAGUGAGGAAUAUUGGUCAAUGGACGAGAGUCUGAACCAGCCAAGUAGCGUGAAGGAUGACUGCCCUAUGGGUUGUAAACUUCUUUUAUAUGGGAAUAAAACGUUCCACGUGUGGGAUUUUGUAUGUACCAUAUGAAUAAGGAUAGGCUAACUCCGUGCCAGCAGCCGCGGUAAUACGGAGGAUCCGAGCGUUAUCCGGAUUUAUUGGGUUUAAAGGGAGCGUAGGUGGAUUGUUAAGUCAGUUGUGAAAGUUUGCGGCUCAACCGUAAAAUUGCAGUUGAAACUGGCAGUCUUGAGUACAGUAGAGGUGGGCGGAAUUCGUGGUGUAGCGGUGAAAUGCUUAGAUAUCACGAAGAACUCCGAUUGCGAAGGCAGUUCACUGGACUGCAACUGACACUGAGGCUCGAAAGUGUGGGUAUCAAACAGGAUUAGAUACCCCAGUAGUC